UCAACGCCUCCGGGCUGCCUUCUGGCACAACUCAAACCCCUCGGAUUGUUGGGACCAGACUUUAAGCCAAAAAGACUUGUUUUCUAUUGUAAUCAGGUUUGGCCUCAGUAUAAAUUAGAUAAUGGGUUUCCAUGGCCCAAAAAUGGCACUUUCAAUUUUAACAUACUGUGUGAUUUACACAACUUCGGUCAAUGCAAUGGCAAAUGGUCAGAAAUCCCCUACAUACAAGCCUUUUCUACCUAUGCUCUUAACCCUCCCUCUGUCAAGCCUGUUCUCCUUCUCAAACAGUCCUAGCCUGAGCCGAUCACUCACCGCUCAUACCUCCCCCACUUUAUAACUCUGUUGAUAGGAAAAAGUUUUAAAGUUUAAUAGAUUAGUUAUUAAAGUAGUUGUGGAAGCAAACUAGCAGGACAAGACCAAAAGGCCUAGGUACAUAAAGAAGGAAGCAGCUCCAGAAGAAGAGACCUUCACCCAACUAUCAUAAAACAAAAGCCUGGAAUGAUAGGUCUCCCACCACCUCAGCAGCUAUUAUGUAUAGUAGCUGCCUUCUUCCUAUGGUGCCUUGCCCCCUCCCCUGUGUGACAUCACGCUAAGAUGGCUGCUCCCCCAAAGAAUAAACCCUUCUUCCCAGCAUGCCCCUGUUUCCCGCCUAGAAAGUAACCUAAUACUCGCUCACCUCCUACCACCUAGUGACAUCACCGGCUCCUCCAUUCCCUAGUCACUGCCUCACUGAACCCCACCUCAGCCCCUACAAACCCCAUCCCAGUCUCUAUAAAAGACUCUCCCUGCACCAGCCAUAUUGCUUUUGUCUCUCUGUUCAGAGACAGCCUGGCAGAUCUAUUCCCCUAAUAAAGGCUUGCUGUAGCCUGGU
rnacentral:lncRNA from 1 species